UACGUAGGGUGCGAGCGUUGCCCGGAUUUAUUGGGCGUAAAGGGCGCGUAGGCGGCCACGCACGUCCGUUGUGAAAUCGCCCGGCUCAACUGGGCGGGGUCAGCGGAUACGGUGUGGCUCGAGCAAGCUAGGGGGCAAUGGAAUUCCCGGUGUAGUGGUGGAAUGCGUAGAUAUCGGGAGGAACACCAGUGGCGAAGGCGGUUGCCUGGAGCUUUGCUGACGCUGAGGCGCGAAAGCUAGGGGAGCAAACAGG
rnacentral:rRNA from 1 species